rnacentral:rRNA from 1 species
GAUGAACGCUGACGGCGUGCCUAAUACAUGCAAGUCGAGCGAACGGACGAGAAGCUUGCUUCUCUGAUGUUAGCGGCGGACGGGUGAGUAACGCGUGGAUAACCUACCUAUAAGACUGGGAUAACUUCGGGAAACCGGAGCUAAUACCGGAUAAUAUUUUGAACCGCAUGGUUCAAAAGUGAAAGACGGUCUUGCUGUCACUUAUAGAUGGAUCCGCGCUGCAUUAGCUAGUUGGUAAGGUAACGGCUUACCAAGGCAACGAUGCAUAGCCGACCUGAGAGGGUGAUCGGCCACACUGGAACUGAGACACGGUCCAGACUCCUACGGGAGGCAGCAGUAGGGAAUCUUCCGCAAUGGGCGAAAGCCUGACGGAGCAACGCCGCGUGAGUGAUGAAGGUCUUCGGAUCGUAAAACUCUGUUAUUAGGGAAGAACAUAUGUGUAAGUAACUGUGCACAUCUUGACGGUACCUAAUCAGAAAGCCACGGCUAACUACGUG